UUAAGACAAAAAGAGAGGAGGCAGAGACACAAGCAGGUUCCUUGCCGGGAGCCCAAUGCGGGACUCAAUCUUAGAUCCCAGGAUCAUGCCCUGAGCCAAAGGCAGAUGCUAAACCACUGAGCCACCCAGGCAUCCCUAUGAGUAGCCUUCUGUUUGUCCUUUCAGUCAGCUCAGACUGUAUGACUAUUCAAAUGAGUUGCAGUGCUAUAACCUAUUUCCUCCAUCUUACACCUCAGUGAUCGGAUGAUGCUGGAGAAAAACACUAGUAAUGUUAUUAAAAAGAUAAACUGAGGCAUGAUUUAAACCAGGCAGUGCCAAACUGAAAGUGGUUAGGAGCACUCCAGGAGCUAGGGGAAAGUUUUUAACAAGAUACAGAAGCAAAGCAAGGAAAUUAUUUGAUUGGCUAUAGCAUAAGCUCUUGCCUUAUUUGGGAAAGCCUAUUUGUGAUUGGUUGGCCUCAGGUUUCAUAUUCUUAGAUUCAAGUGUGUUGAUUCUGGAUUAGGUUUUGGUUUGCUUACAUAGGCCACCAAAUCUUUAGAGACACUUUAUCUAAUGGCCUCCUGUUUAAUUACUUUAACAAUGCAAAACUCUCAAGUCAGGAGCUCCCCCAAACAGCUCUGUUUCCCUUAUUCAGAAGACGGUAUUUCUUUCUCUUGACUCUUAGAAGACUGAUCAUGUCUUAUUCCCUUUGCUUCUCUAGAAUUUUGCCCCUUGUCAGUGAACUUCACAAUUUAGGACAUUACUCUGGAUACAGUAUGAAUGAUUGACUGGGGGCCAGGCAAGAGAGGGUGCAAGGACAGUGGAAAAGUGCUGUAGGCUUUACAGGGGUGAUGACAAUGGCAAUAGAGAGAAGCAAAUGACUUUGGAAUAAGUGUAGGCAGUUGAAUCACAAAGAUAUAAUUGUUGGAUAGAAGCAGGGGAGAUGAGGUGGGAGUGUGAGGUGAGGAGAUUUCUGGCUUGAGCAACUAAGUGGUGAUAUCGUCACUGAUAUAGGAGAAUACUGGGGAUGGGGGACCCAGGUUUAGAUAGGAAAAAAAAUAGAAAUUUUAUCUGUAAUAUAUUAGGUUCGAGAUAGUUCUGAGAUUGCCUAAUAUAGAGAUGCCCAAGAAGCACUGGUGGGACUGUUGAACAUGAUGAAAAAUAAGGACCAGGAUGUGACCCUGGAAGUGGAGGACAAUUCCAUGGACAAUGAGGAGGUCGAGGAUCUGAGUUGCCAGACAUCCUUCAGUACCUCAAUUUUAUCAGGGUUUUCUCAACUCCAACUUUCCAAAUGUUUUAUAUUUUUCAUUUUUAUUUCAAUCAUUAAUUCACCUGGACAUAAUGUUUAUGUAUGAUGAAAGAUUACCAUCUUUAUUUUCUUCUUUUUGGAUAACCAGAUAUCCUUGGGCCAUUUGUGUUCAACACAAGCUUAACCCCCAAAUGUCCCUUGAAUUCAUUUUGCCCUGAAGGACUUCAGGAUCCUUCCCUUUCUUUUCUAUAAUCCAUAUUCUGCAUGGUGUCAUGAAAUUUGUCUUUCUAAAAUACAAAUGUGAUCAUGUCACUCUGCUGAUUAAACUGUUUAAAUAACUUCUUUUUAUUGCCUACAGAAUAAAAGUCCAAUCCCUAAGCCUGUCAUAUUUAAGCUACUGCUGGGUAUGAUUGGGUCUUCUGACCAGGACCUCCAGGAAGCCGCAGCUGGAUGUAUAUCCAACAUACGCAGACUGGCUCUUGCUAUAGACAAGGCAAGAUACACUUGAAAUGUGCACAGACGUUACAAACUACCAAAUUUUACAUGACAGGGAACAUGUCAGUCCCAUGGCCAAGAAGCCUAGAUCAGGAAGCAUGUUGAGCAAAUGUUUUACAGACAGAUAAAUGUCUGAAUGAAAACACAGGAAUUAAAAAUGCAAAGGAUACUCUUCAUCCAAAAAUUGCAUAGAUAUUUUUGUUCUAUUUAAUAUUUUGGGGAUAUGCCAUGUAAUGAAAUGUAAAGCUAAUAAAAUUGUGAUACUUUUGUUUGUGAUGAUUUUAAUAAAAGAUAUGGCCUUCCUGGUGUGCA